CCCUUAGAUGUUCUGGGCCGCACACGCGCUACACUGGCAGGUUCAUCGAGCUUCAUGCCCUGAUCUGAGAAGAACGGGAAAUCUUUGAACACCCGCCGUGCUUGGGAUAGAUGUUUGCAAUUAUUCAUCUUCAACGAGGAUUGCCUUGUAAGCGCACGUCAUCAGCGUGCAUUGAAUACGACCCUGUAUUCUGUACACACCGCCCGUCGCUCCUACCGAUUGAAGUUUUCGGUGAAUUUACUGGAGAUCCCUUUUGAAGGUGGUUCGCCACUGGAAGAAGUAUUCAAAAGUAAAUGAAUCGAAUGCUUUAGAGGAAGGAGAAGUCGUAACA
rnacentral:rRNA from 1 species